rnacentral:lncRNA from 1 species
UACUAGGUUUUUUUGCUGAAUGUUUGCAUCUCCUCAAAAUUCAUGUGUUGAAGCCCUAAUCCCCAAAGUGAUGGUAUUUGAAGAUGGAACUUUUGGAGAUAAUAAGGUCAGGAGGGAGACUCCAUUAAGGGGUUAGUGCCCUUAUAAGAAAAGAUACUUAGAGCUAUAUAGAAUCAAAAAAGAUAAAUCCUCAAAUCAAACCUACAAAAAGCAAACUCUUGCUCAAACUACAAGAUGCUCUCCAAAAAAAAGUGAUGGAAAUGUUUUAAAACCCAAAA